CCUACGGGAGGCAGCAGUCGAGAAUCAUUCACAAUGGGGGAAACCCUGAUGGUGCGACGCCGCGUGGGGGAAUGAAGGUCUUCGGAUUGUAAACCCCUGUCAUGUGGGAGCAAAUUAAAAAGAUAGUACCACAAGAGGAAGAGACGGCUAACUCUGUGCCAACAGCAGCGGUAAUACAGAGGUCUUAAGCGUUGUUCGGAAUCACUGGGCGUAAAGCGUGCGUAGGCUGUUUCGUAAGUUGUGUGUGAAAGGCGCGGGCUCAACCCGCGGACGGCACAUGAUACUGCGAGACUAGAGUGAUGGAGGGGGAACCGGAAUUCGCGGUGUAGCAGUGAAAUGCGUAGAUAUCGAGAGGAACACUCGUGGCGAAGGCGGGUUCCUGGACAUUAACUGACGCUGAGGCACGAAGGCCAGGGGAGCGAAAGGGAUUAGAUACCCUAGUAGUC
rnacentral:rRNA from 1 species